GAUGAACGCUUGCGGCGUGCCUAGAAAUGCAAGUCGAGCGAGGCUAGGGUGCUUGCACACUAGUCUAGCGGCGAACGGUCGCGUAACACGUAGGCAACCUACCCUGUAGAGGGGGAUAGCCCGCCGAAAGGCGGAUUAAUACCGCAUAUAGAUUACUGAGCGCAUGCUAAGUAAUUGAAAGCAGUAAUGCGCUACAGGAUGGGCUUGCGGCCUAUCAGCUAGUUGGUGAGGUAACGGCCCACCAAGGCGACGACGGGUAGCUGGUCUGAGAGGAUGGUCAGCCGGAUUGGGACUGAGACACGGCCCAGACUCCUACGGGGGGCAGCAAUUAGGAAUCUUGCGCAAUGGGGGAAACCCUGACGCAGCGACGCCGCGUGAAUGAAGAAGUCCUUCGGGAUGUAAAGUUCUGUUCUAUGGGGAAGAAGGCAGUGACGGUACCCAUAGAGAAAGCCCCGGCUAACUACGUG
rnacentral:rRNA from 1 species